UGCAGUCGAACGGUGAACACGGAGCUUGCUCUGUGGGAUCAGUGGCGAACGGGUGAGUAACACGUGAGCAACCUGCCCCUGACUCUGGGAUAAGCGCUGGAAACGGCGUCUAAUACUGGAUAUGUGACGUGAUCGCAUGGUCUGCGUCUGGAAAGAAUUUCGGUUGGGGAUGGGCUCGCGGCCUAUCAGCUUGUUGGUGAGGUAAUGGCUCACCAAGGCGUCGACGGGUAGCCGGCCUGAGAGGGUGACCGGCCACACUGGGACUGAGACACGGCCCAGACUCCUACGGGAGGCAGCAGUGGGGAAUAUUGCACAAUGGGCGCAAGCCUGAUGCAGCAACGCCGCGUGAGGGAUGACGGCCUUCGGGUUGUAAACCUCUUUUAGCAGGGAAAGAAGCGAAAGUGACGGUACCUGCAGAAAAAGCGCCGGCUAACUACGUGCCAGCAGCCGCGGUAAUACGUAGGGCGCAAGCGUUAUCCGGAAUUAUUGGGCGUAAAGAGCUCGUAGGCGGUUUGUCGCGUCUGCUGUGAAAUCCGGAGGCUCAACCUCCGGCCUGCAGUGGGUACGGGCAGACUAGAGUGCGGUAGGGGAGAUUGGAAUUCCUGGUGUAGCGGUGGAAUGCGCAGAUAUCAGGAGGAACACCGAUGGCGAAGGCAGAUCUCUGGGCCGUAACUGACGCUGAGGAGCGAAAGGGUGGGGAGCAAACAGGCUUAGAUACCCUGGUAGUCCACCCCGUAAACGUUGGGAACUAGUUGUGGGGUCCAUUCCACGGAUUCCGUGACGCAGCUAACGCAUUAAGUUCCCCGCCUGGGGAGUACGGCCGCAAGGCUAAAACUCAAAGGAAUUGACGGGGACCCGCACAAGCGGCGGAGCAUGCGGAUUAAUUCGAUGCAACGCGAAGAACCUUACCAAGGCUUGACAUAUACGAGAACGGGCCAGAAAUGGUCAACUCUUUGGACACUCGUAAACAGGUGGUGCAUGGUUGUCGUCAGCUCGUGUCGUGAGAUGUUGGGUUAAGUCCCGCAACGAGCGCAACCCUCGUUCUAUGUUGCCAGCACGUAAUGGUGGGAACUCAUGGGAUACUGCCGGGGUCAACUCGGAGGAAGGUGGGGAUGACGUCAAAUCAUCAUGCCCCUUAUGUCUUGGGCUUCACGCAUGCUACAAUGGCCGGUACAAAGGGCUGCAAUACCGCGAGGUGGAGCGAAUCCCAAAAAGCCGGUCCCAGUUCGGAUUGAGGUCUGCAACUCGACCUCAUGAAGUCGGAGUCGCUAGUAAUCGCAGA
rnacentral:rRNA from 1 species